rnacentral:rRNA from 1 species
UGCAAGUCGAACGAUGAAGCCCGUGCUUGCACGGGUGGAUUAGUGGCGAACGGGUGAGUAUCACGUGAGUAACCUGCCCUUGACUCUGGGAUAAGCCUGGGAAACUGGGUCUAAUACCGGAUAUGACCAGUCCUCGCAUGAGGUGCUGGUGGAAAGAUUUUAUCGGUCUUGGAUGGACUCGCGGCCUAUCAGCUAGACGGUGAGGUAAUGGCUCACCGUGGCGAUGACGGGUAGCCGGCCUGAGAGGGUGACCGGCCACACUGGGACUGAGACACGGCCCAGACUCCUACGGGAGGCAGCAGUGGGGAAUAUUGCACAAUGGGCGCAAGCCUGAUGCAGCGACGCCGCGUGCGGGAUGACGGCCUUCGGGUUGUAAACCGCUUUCAGCAGGGAAGAAGCUUUUGUGACGGUACCUGCAGAAGAAGCGCCGGCUAACUACGUGCCAGCAGCCGCGGUAAUACGUAGGGCGCGAGCGUUAUCCGGAAUUAUUGGGCGUAAAGAGCUCGUAGGCGGCUUGUCGCGUCUGCUGUGAAAGCCCGGGGCUUAACCCCGGGUGUGCAGUGGGUACGGGCAGGCUAGAGUGCAGUAGGGGAGACUGGAAUUCCUGGUGUAGCGGUGAAAUGCGCAGAUAUCAGGAGGAACACCGAUGGCGAAGGCAGGUCUCUGGGCUGUUACUGACGCUGAGGAGCGAAAGCAUGGGGAGCGAACAGGAUUAGAUACCCUGGUAGUCCAUGCCGUAAACGUUGGGCACUAGGUGUGGGGGACAUUCCACGUUUUCCGCGCCGUAGCUAACGCAUUAAGUGCCCCGCCUGGGGAGUACGGCCGCAAGGCUAAAACUCAAAGGAAUUGACGGGGGCCCGCACAAGCGGCGGAGCAUGCGGAUUAAUUCGAUGCAACGCGAAGAACCUUACCAAGGCUUGACAUGGACCGGAUCGCUGCAAAGAUGUAGUUUCCCUUCGGGGCUGGUUCACAGGUGGUGCAUGGUU